AGACUCGGGUCUAUCGGAAUCGGAAGUCAUUGGGAAGAAAGAGAAAUUCAAGAUCCGGCGAAGAAGGGUUUUGGUGAAGGAACGUAGAGAGAGGUUUUGGUUAAAGUACAAAAGUAAAAGAAGAGAGUAAUGGUGAAAAGUAGUUACCUCAAGCCAAUGAUGAAACCGCCUUGGAAGUCGUGUGGGAAGUGGGAAGGUUUUUCCCGUUUUAAUAGUAAUUAAUCAAUAUACGGUCAUAAUGACGACAGAUGUCACUCGGUUAAAAAUGGCUAGUGCCGAAAUUAAAGGAGUGAUGGGAUUUUCGGCGGGAAAUCAGAAAGAUUCUCGAGCGCAAUCUUUGGCCACUUGAGCAUUUAAAGUCCUCCGAAUUGGAAUAGCACUUCGAAGAACUUGGGGGGCUAAUUGUUGGUGUCGGAUCCCGCACCAGAAGUACGAGACCAACCAAAGAUUGCCACGUAAUCAAGCGGGUGGCCCAUGAAGAAUGAAGCCCAUUAGGCCCGUGAACCGAGGGGACGGUCGAAGUGGUUGUCAUCACUUCGACCAUCCGAAGUGACUGCACUGUGGUACGAGUUCGGUGUAGAAGAUGCGGGCAAGUCGGUUCAAGGACAUUUGGGCCGAAAAGGCGAGGCCCAUGAAGAUCAGAGUCAACUCAAAUUCAAACGUUGAGCAUUAAAGUCGAAGAAUCAAAACGGACACAUUUAAGAGGGAAUAAUUGUACUUAAUUAUUCAUUUUAAUGUCGCUUAUCUAUGUAUAAAUAUAGAGGUCAAUGGCCAUGUAAAGGGGACCUUCCUCUGAAGAGAGAAAUAAUAUAGCAAUUUUCGUAUCAAUUUACUAGUUUUUAUACGUUCAUUUUUGUCCCUCAAGAAUAAUCUUUCCCACUUAACAAAAUACUUGAGUGUGUGAAUCCGACAUCCACAA
rnacentral:lncRNA from 1 species